rnacentral:rRNA from 1 species
GGGUCAAGCUACUAAGGGCACAUGGGGGAUGCCUUGGUGCCAGAAGCCGAUGAAGGGCGUAGCAAGGCUGCGAUAAGCCCCGGAUAGCUGUCUAGCGAGCUUAACCGGGGAUUCCCGAAUGGGUAAACCCGCCUCAAUUUAGAGGCACUUUUUCUGUGAAGAAUUAGAGGUAAGCGGGAGAACUGAAACAUCUAAGUACCCCGAGGAAAGAAAAUCAACCGAGACUCCCUUAGUAGCGGCGAGCGAAACGGGAAUAGCCUAAACCACAUAGUCCUAACGGACUGGGGUCCAAUGACUACGUGGUGUUAUAGGGUCAGUUGUGGAUUGUCCCCAUGACUUUCCGAAAAGUUACAAACCAAACAUUUAGCCGAACAGUCCUGGAACGGCUGGCUAUAAAGGGUGAAAGCCCCGUAGGCGAAAAAUGGUUGGCUUUUCGACUGAUUCCUGAGUACGACGGGACACGUGAAAUCUUGUCGGAAUUUGGUGGGACCACCCUCCAAGGCUAAGUACUUCUGGCGACCGAUAGUGAACAAGUACCGUGAGGGAAAGGUGAAAAGUACCCCGAUGAGGGGAGUGAAAUAGAACUGAAACCGUGUGCCUACAAACCGUGGGAGUCUUGUUUAUACAGGAUGACCGCGUGCCUAUUGAAGAAUGAGCCAACGAGUUACGUUACGUGGCAGGUUAAGGCGUGAUGCGCUGUAGCCGAAGCGAAAGCGAGUCUGAAUAGGGCGUUUUUUGUCGCGUGGCGUAGACCCGAAACCGUGCGAGCUACCCAUGGCCAGGCUGAAGCGAAAGUAAUUUUUCGUGGAGGGCCGAACCCGUGUAGGUUACAAACUGCUGGGAUGAGCUGUGGGUAGGGGUAAAAUGCCAAACGAGCACGGAGAUAGCUGGUUCUCCCCGAAAUGCAUUUAGGUGCAGCGUUAGGAGUUACUUUGUGGAGGUAGAGCACUGGAUGGGCUAGGGGGCGUAAGCUUACCAAUCCCAACCAAACUCCGAAUACUACAAAGGGUAGCCUAGCAGUGAGACAGUGAAGGAUAAGCUCCAUUGUCGAAAGGGAAACAGCCCAGAUCGCAAACUAAGGUCCCCAAGUGUAUGCUAAGUGUGAAACGAAGUUGGGACGCCCAGACAGCCAGGAGGUUGGCUUAGAAGCAGCCACCCUUUAAAGAGUUCGUAACAGAUCACUGGUCGAGGGUUCCUGCACGGAAAAAUAAACGGGGCUAAAGCAUACCACCGAAGUUGCGGAUUCCGAUUUUUUUCGGAGUGGUAGGGGAGCGUUCCCAGGGCGCCGAAGUCGUACUGUGAGGUACGGUGGAGCGCUGGGAAGUGAGAAUGUUGGCAUAAGUAGCGUCAAUGCCGGUGAGAAUCCGGCACGCCGAAAGUCCGAGGUUUCCUACGCAACGCUGAUCGACGUAGGGUUAGGCGGGCCUAAGGUAUAGCCGAAAGGCGAAGCCGAUGGAUAGCUGGUCAAAACUCCAGCCCCACUGCCUAUCUGUUUGAGUUUUCGGGGGGACGCAGCUUGAUAAGCGUCGCAUGUCCAUUGGACAUGAUGUGUUCCUGUCCGUAGGUUUUAGGUGAGAGGUUAAAAUAUCUUGCCUACUGAGGGACGGGAGGACCGUGAGGGACACCUCGCGGAACGGCGCCCACUCUAUGCUGCCGAGAAAAGCCCCGUUAAUGAGGAUAAGUAGUGUCCGUACCGCAAACCGACACUGGUGGACAGGGGUAAAUGCCCCAAGGCGUUCGAGACAACUAUCGUUAAGGAACUCGGCAAAAUGACCCCGUAACUUCGGGAGAAGGGGGGCCUCUGAUGUAAUAAGACUUGCUCUGAAAGCGUUGGUGGCCGCAGAGAACAGGCUCAAGCGACUGUUUACCAAAAACACAGGUCCGUGCUAAAGCGAAAGCUGAUGUAUACGGGCUGACGCCUGCCCAGUGCCGGUAGGUUAAGGAAGGGGGUGCAAGCUCCUGACUGAAGCCCCGGUGAACGGCGGCCGUAACUAUAACGGUCCUAAGGUAGCGAAGUCCCUUGUCGGGUAAGUUCCGACCCGCACGAAUGGCGUAACGACUUGAACACUGUCUCAACGAUGGACUCGGUGAAAUUGCAGGACCCGUAAAGAUGCGGGUUACGCGCAGCAGGACAAAAAGACCCCGUGGA